CUUGGUCAUUUAGAGGAAGUAAAAGUCGUAACAAGGUUUCCGUAGGUGAACCUGCGGAAGGAUCAUUAUUGAUUUUUAAAGAUGUGCUGGCACUCCUUCACCGGUUUGCAUGUGCACUCUGCAAAAUCUCCUUCUCUUACCCCACUGUGCACACCCAAGUAGACAAACAGAGUUACAGAGCAAUCUGUGUAAUUCCUGAUUUGCCUAUGUUUUUAUCAAACACCAAUAACAAUAUCAGAAUGAUCUAUAUAGUAAGCUUUUAACAAGCUGAAAUUUAAUACAACUUUCAACAAUGGAUCUCUUGGUUCUCGCAUCGAUGAAGAACGCAGCGAAUUGCGAUAUGUAAUGUGAAUUGCAGAAUUCAGUGAAUCAUCGAAUCUUUGAACGCACCUUGCACCCUCUGGCAUUCCGGAGGGUAUGCCUGUUUGAGUGUCAUUAAUCUCUCAACGCAAGAAACUUUGUCUUCUUGUGCUUGGAUAUUGAAGGUUUUGCUGGCGCAAACAACUGUCAGCUCCUUUUAAAUGUAUUAGCAGAGCAGUAUGGGACUGGCCUCAGUUUGAUAAGAAACUUUAUCUAUGCUGUCGCUGGGUUUUCCUCUUUGUGCUCAGCUUCAAAUUGUCUUCGGACUGUCUCUUGAGGCAACAAAAUUUCUAUUGAUCGACCUCAAAUCAGGUAGGACUACCCGCUGAACUUAAGCAUAUCAAUAAGCGGAGGA
rnacentral:rRNA from 1 species